GCGACCUCCCGCUCGGCGGCUGUGUUGUGUUUUCAGAUUAUUGCAACUGUGUUCGACCUGUCACGCAAUACGAGAGGUGUCCAUCUCAGAGCAAGAACUAAAGCUGUGGUACACACAGACAACAUCUGUCGCGUCACACUCGUGUGCUGUUGUGUUACUCACUGGUCACGGUGGUCUUGUCGCUGAUGAUAUCGAAGAUAAACAUAUUCCAUUGUUACAUUCCGUCAAUACUGCUGUUGUCUAGACACGACCGGCAAGACUGAGUGAGUGUGAGUGCGCGCCGCGCCGCAGGGGCCUGGUGUCUCCGGCACGAGCACAAUGGCACGUGCGUGCUCGCCAAACGCUGCGAAUCUCUCAUCUUGGACUACAAAUCACAUAAUUUCGAACCGGUAAUUAGAUUCAUUACAUACAGAACAGAAGUAUAUGAGAAAAACGAAGAAUACAUACGUACUAUGUACCAGGAGUGAGUUUGAUACAGAAGCCGUUUGAUAACGUUGAAGUGAGCGAGUUCACUGCCGAGGAGUGCUUGACGCACUACCCUCCGCACCGACACCUGCUCGACGGGUUCGACAACAGCACGCAGCUGUGCUACGGAGACCGCGACAAGACGCGCGACACUUGCCAGGGUGACAGCGGCGGUCCCUUGAUCUUUGAAGAGGGUGAGGUGCGUUGUACGAGAACAAUAUUCGGCGUGACGUCAUCGGGCGUGGAGUCGAUGUAGCGACCGGCGCGCCGGCCGCUACACGCGCGUCGAGCACUAC